CUGCUCAGGAUGAACGCCGGCGGUGUGCCUAAUACAUGCAAGUCGAACGCGUUGGCCCAAUUGAUUGAUGGUGCUUGCACCUGAUUGAUUUUGGUCGCCAACGAGUGGCGGACGGGUGAGUAACACGUAGGUAACCUGCCCAGAAGCGGGGGACAACAUUUGGAAACAGAUGCUAAUACCGCAUAACAACGUUGUUCGCAUGAACAACGCUUAAAAGAUGGCUUCUCGCUAUCACUUCUGGAUGGACCUGCGGUGCAUUAGCUUGUUGGUGGGGUAAUGGCCUACCAAGGCGAUGAUGCAUAGCCGAGUUGAGAGACUGAUCGGCCACAAUGGGACUGAGACACGGCCCAUACUCCUACGGGAGGCAGCAGUAGGGAAUCUUCCACAAUGGGCGCAAGCCUGAUGGAGCAACACCGCGUGAGUGAAGAAGGGUUUCGGCUCGUAAAGCUCUGUUGUUAAAGAAGAACACGUAUGAGAGUAACUGUUCAUACGUUGACGGUAUUUAACCAGAAAGUCACGGCUAACUACGUGCCAGCAGCCGCGGUAAUACGUAGGUGGCAAGCGUUAUCCGGAUUUAUUGGGCGUAAAGAGAGUGCAGGCGGUUUUCUAAGUCUGAUGUGAAAGCCUUCGGCUUAACCGGAGAAGUGCAUCGGAAACUGGAUAACUUGAGUGCAGAAGAGGGUAGUGGAACUCCAUGUGUAGCGGUGGAAUGCGUAGAUAUAUGGAAGAACACCAGUGGCGAAGGCGGCUACCUGGUCUGCAACUGACGCUGAGACUCGAAAGCAUGGGUAGCGAACAGGAUUAGAUACCCUGGUAGUCCAUGCCGUAAACGAUGAGUGCUAGGUGUUGGAGGGUUUCCGCCCUUCAGUGCCGGAGCUAACGCAUUAAGCACUCCGACGGG
rnacentral:rRNA from 2 species